CUUUUCUAUAUAUUUCAUGUAUAAAAACUAAUUAUAUAUAUAUAUAUAUAUAUAUAUAUAUAAAUAUAUUAGUUUUUUUGUUUGUUUUUGUGGUGAUAAAUGGUCUCAUUUGUUCUGUGUUCAGUUGUGCGUCUUUAAUGGAUGUUUAUGUAUUUGAGACGCUCAAAUGUUAAUUAUUCUAAAGUUAUUUUUAAAACGCGGAGGUUUUUCUGUGGAUUUCUGUUCUGUUCCAUCAAAUCAUCUUCAACGUCAAGCACACGUGCAGAAGUUUUCAUUCCAGUAUAAAAUAAUCACACUCUGUCAUUUGGACAGAGAUCUGUUUGGUUUCCUUAAAAGCUCUCAGUCAUACACAGACUCUCAGAGCAGAUUUAAAACCAAUCGUCACAUUAGUUUUGUUGGGAGAAAUGUACGAAAUUUGUCAAGAACAUGUCUAGAUCAUAUUUCUCAUCACAUUUUUAGACCAUUAUUAUUUUUUGCAUUGGAAUUUAUUAUAUUAAUAUUUAUUAUAAUAAUAUAUUAUAAUACUUCACAAUGCAAAAAAAAAAACAAUUAUGGAAUUAUUUUAUAUAUAAUAAAAAUAUAUAAAAAAAGUAAUAUCAGCACUACGAAAUUGUAUAAUUAAAAUUAUGCAUUAUAAUGCUUUAUUGCAUUAUAUUCAUAACACAAUUUCUCAGUGCAGCUUUCAUCAGAUUCUCUCGUGUGGUUUGGAUGUUUGUCAUGUGGCUUCAGAACAGAAGUGUGCAAACAUCAAAGGAGUUUAUCAUCUGUCUGGUCUCAUCUCAACACUGAAACGCUGGAUUCCAGUCUGGUUUUACACAUGAAUUGGUCCAUUUUCAUUGGGUCAGUUUGAAUAUUCAGUCACUGCGGAGUAAAGAACCAAAUAUCCGACGUUUGAACUACAGCAGACGACUAAAGUGCCCUUAAUAUUCAGCUUUUAUGUGGAAAAGCUAGCGAGAACUUUGUACAUAUCAAAGAUCGGUUUAAUUAGCAUUGCUAUGUAAUGUGGGAGUUUGAACUGUAAAUACAUUUAGCAAUAAUAAAUAUUAAAAAUGUAUUUCAUUUGAUUCGUUGAAUGUUGAUGUGUAUUUUAGCAUUUAAGGAACUUAGCAACACCCUGGCAACCACAUGGAACAAUGUAACAACACAACAUCAUAGCAACGCUCUAACAACUAUAACACCAUAGUGACCACUUAGCAACACCAUAGCA
ensembl:lncRNA